GUCUCCAUGCUACCUCAUGGGUCCCAUGUGCAAAUUCAGAGGGAGUUAGAAUGAAACCUGCAGUGGAAAUUCAGGCUCUGACGUCAGCAACCUCGUUUUGCAAAAGCUCCAGUUGGCCACCUUGGUUCCAACUGAUUUCAGCCGGCUUUUCUUGAUCUCACAAGCAGAGGGAGUUUCAGUGUUUCAGCGAGUUGGUUUUUUUCUUAUCUGCUACUCUGCAAACACAAGAAUUUCUGUUAGCUACUAGUUUCUUACUCUUUGGAGUGCCGUUUCAGUUUCAGCUUUUCACCAAGUUGUUUCUUAUCCGCUACCCUGUAAGCCCAAGAAUUUAGUCAUUGGUUUCUUUAACGGUUGGAGGAGGCAGGGUGUCAGCACCCAUCUGCCCCCAGUAGUGGGGACAAUUGACCUUAGUCUUAUGUGAAGUGCCAGUAAGAUGCAGCUUAGCCCCCUCACUCCAUAGACAAUGCACUGGACUGUCUCUGCCACAGCCCAGGACUGCGUCUUGGCAUCCCUGACCAUUUCAACCCCCAUUUUAGUGUUCUUUCCUCCUCACUGCCAGAAAGCCAUUUUAGGCAGCUUGUGGGUGUUUUUUAGAAGCGAUGUGUGUGUGAGAUGAAGGAGGCUUCCCUUUGUUUUGGCUUUAAACCUGUCUGUGUAAGUGAGAGUGAGUGGAAAGCUAUGGCUCCUCUCUCCAACACUCCCAAGGCAGGCAGCCCUGACCUCCUCAAUUGCAGAUCAGAAGGGGGCCUUUGGAAAUUAUCCAGACCAGUGAAUCUCACCAUUUUUCUCCCCUGCCACAUCAUACAUGAUGGAUGAAGUCCACAUGCUUAACAGGAUUCCAUGCAUGCACUUAUUUUGAUGGAACAGCCAAAAACAUUCUGUGAGGAAGUAAUUGUCCUCAGGAAAGGGAAUAAUGGUUGCCUCGGCAUGGGGUGGAGGCCCCUGAGUGUACUCUGCCAUGAGACCCCUUCCUUCCCACUCAGGAUGUAUUUCGAAUGCAGGAGCACCCAGGGAGCAAGAGAAGCCCUGAGACAGCAGCAAGGGACACUGUGGGGCUGCAGGGUAAGGAAAAUGAGAAACAGAGAACCUAAGCAAGUUUUAAAUUGGAGAAGUUGACAGAAAAAAGUUGCAAGAACAUCAUAAAAUAUUUUAUCAAAAUUCUUCAAUUUUCAGAUAAACUGAGGUCAAAGAGCAUAAGCGUCUUGAUUAUUUUAACACAGCUCAGUAAAGAC
rnacentral:lncRNA from 1 species